rnacentral:rRNA from 1 species
AUUGAACGCUGGCGGCAUGCUUUACACAUGCAAGUCGAACGAGUGGCGAACGGGUGAGUAAUAUAUCGGAACGUACCGAGUAAUGGGGGAUAACCAAUCGAAAGAUUGGCUAAUACCGCAUAUUAUUCGAGCGGCCGAUAACUGAUUAGCUAGGUGGUGGGGUAAAGGCCUACCAAGGCGAUGAUCAGUAGCGGGUCUGAGAGGACGAGCGGCCACACGGGGACUGAGACACGGCCCAGGCUCCUACGGGAGGCAGCAGUGGGGAAUUUUGGACAAUGGGGUCAACCCGAAUCCAGCCAGGCCGCGUGGAUUAAGAAGGCCUUCGGGUUGUAAAGUACUUUUGUUAGGGAAGCGGUAACUAAAGAAUAAGCACCGGCAAACUACGUGCCAGCAGCCGCGGUAAUUC